ensembl:lncRNA
GCCAGGCAGUGCUGGCAUCACCUAAGUGAGUGGCAGAGACACAUACAACCUGGAACUGAAAAUUCAGUGUCAGUCUGAGUGCAGGACUGGGACCAAGGGCUGUACAGUGAAAGAGAAGGAAACCUUAGAGACGAAGAAUGAAGAAAUUGCCUCUUUUUUUUUGUUUGUGCUGGCUACUGAGAGCUAUGCUAACUCUAUGUUUCAUAGAAUCAUAGGAUUAUUAAAGUUUGAAAAGGCCGCUAAGAUCAUCUAGUCCAACCAUCAAUCUGUCACCAGCAUGCCCACUAAACCAUGUCCCUCAGUGCCACAUCCACCCUUUUCUUGAACACCUCCAAGGACAACGACUCCACCUCCCUGGGCAGUCUGUUCCAGUGCCUUAUCAAAAGAAAACAAAUAUUUUCAGAAGAGAGAGACUCAGAGCUUUGUAUCUACUUACCUACAUUUAGUCUGUACCUGAGAACAAGCAGAUAGAUGUGAGUAAGAGCAUACAGAUACAUCACAGUGUGAAGAUGAGCACCACAAGGCUGAACUAAAC